rnacentral:rRNA from 1 species
UACGGGGGGGGCAAGCGUUGUUCGGAAUUACUGGGCGUAAAGGGUGUGUAGGCGGUUCCUUAAGUUUGCUGUGAAAUCUCCCGGCUUAACCGGGAGGGUGCGGUGAAUACUGAGGGACUAGAGUACGGGAGAGGAAAGUGGAAUUCCUGGUGUAGCGGUGAAAUGCGUAGAUAUCAGGAGGAACACCGGUGGCGAAGGCGGCCAACUGGACGAAUACUGACGCUGAGACUCGAAAGCGUGGGGAGCAAACAGG